GAGUGGCGAACGGGUGAGUAACACGUGGGUAAUCUGCCUUGCACUCUGGGAUAAGCCUGGGAAACUGGGUCUAAUACCGGAUANGACNAUCNNGNCGCAUGCGGUGNGGUGGAAAGUUCUGGCGGUGCAGGAUGAACCCGCGGCCUAUCAGCUUGUUGGUGGGGUAAUGGCCUACCAAGGCGACGACGGGUAGCCGGCCUGAGAGGGUGACCGGCCACACUGGGACUGAGACACGGCCCAGACUCCUACGGGAGGCAGCAGUGGGGAAUAUUGCACAAUGGGCGCAAGCCUGAUGCAGCGACGCCGCGUGAGGGAUGACGGCCUUCGGGUUGUAAACCUCUUUCGCCAGGGACGAAGCGAGAGUGACGGUACCUGGAUAAGAAGCACCGGCUAACUACGUGCCAGCAGCCGCGGUAAUACGUAGGGUGCGAGCGUUGUCCGGAAUUAUUGGGCGUAAAGAGCUCGUAGGCGGUUUGUCGCGUCGGCCGUGAAAUCUCCACGCUUAACGUGGAGCGUGCGGUCGAUACGGGCAGACUUGAGUUCGGUAGGGGAGACUGGAAUUCCU
rnacentral:rRNA from 1 species